rnacentral:tRNA from 1 species
GUUUCCGUUGCUUCCUUACCGGGCUUUGCAGAGCGACCGCUGCCUUGUAAUUACAACGUUUUAAAAUUUGUCUUUCACGGCGGUAACACGGGUUCAAAUCCCGUCGGGGACGCCA